CCGCUUACCCCUUUGUUUUCCUGUCUGUUUUGUCAUUAUGGUUCUUUUAUGGUCCCUCCUUCAGGUUAUUUCUGCAGUGGGACUGGACUUUUAUCUCCAACUGGAUUAUGUGAAGGUGGAUUCUACUGCAGUGGAGGAGCCAUUUCUCCUAAACCUCCCAGGAUAACAGAGAGUGGAGGACCGUGUCCACCUGGACAUUACUGUGUAGCAGGGAGCAGCAGAGCCCAGCCUUGCCCUGCAGGGAGUUACAGCCCAUCCUGGAGUAUGGUGCAGUGUUUGGAGUGCCCAGAAGGGUUUUAUUGUGAAACUGCUUCCACAAACUACACGGAUUGCCCUACAGGUGGGUCUGAUGGUACCUACUUACACAUUAUGGGAACUUACAGGGAUUAGCAGAUGCUUUUAGAGCAGUUUGGAGUAGAUUCAACAUUGGACUGCGUUACAGAUCUCUUCUGCUAGACCUUGGUCAAAGCACUUAACCUCUUUGUGAUUCAGUUCCCUUGUCUGAGUAGACAGAGACUAUGGAGACUUUUAUAACAGACUUAAAGGUAAUAAUAAAAAAGCAGCUGCUGUUAAAAGCAUUACUAAUCCUUAACUCUCAUCAGCUUCAUUUCAUGUUGCUGAUGUGACAAAUUGCAGGACAUGCCCACUGCCAUAGCUUGGCUCCAGCCUUCCUUAGAAACAGAUGAAGAGAAUUCAGUGUGCACAGGCUGGGAGGUUCUUCUCAGGCUGUUAUCAGCAUGCACUGACCUUUCUAAGAUCCGUCUCUUCUCUCCUAGGUCACUACUGCCCCAGGAGUACCAAAUUUGCCACUCAGUAUCCUUGUCCUCCUGGAACGUACAGUGAUGCUUUAAAUAUCAGGGAUGCUUCCAAGUGCCAGCUGUGUCCUCCUGGAAGGGUUUGUUCCAAGCCAGGCCUAACAAGACCAGAUGGUCUGUGCAUGCCUGGAUGGUUUUGUCCACCUGGAUCCAUGUCAAGCAAGCCAGUGUUUCUUGGAAACUACUCAGAUUAUUUAUGUCCCCUGGGUCACUAUUGCCCUGCUGGCAGCCCUGAGCCCAUACCCUGCCCCUCCGGAAAAUACCAGGACCAGGCUGGUAAAAGCCAGUGUGAAAUGUGCCCAGCAGGAAUGUUCUGUGCCCAAGACCACCGUCCAUCCAGUCUCCAUAACAACUCACGUGGAGUGAUCAAACCAAUGGUCUGUCCGGCAGGAUAUUACUGCCCACCAGGCACAAUAGCUGGUAAUCAGUACCCAUGUCCAGCAGGGACUUAUAGUAACAAAACUGGACUGAGAAACCCUAGAGAGUGCUUGCCUUGUCCUGGGGGCACAUUUUGUGCCAGUGCAGGACUCGUUUCCCCAAGUGGUCCAUGUAUGCCCGGGUUUUACUGCACUUUAAAGGCACGUGUACCCAAUCCUGCCAAUGAUGCCACUGGUGGACUCUGCCCAGCAGGCCAUUACUGCCCAGCAGGCAGCAAUGAGCCACAGCCAUGUCCAAAUGGCAUGUUUUUGCCUCAGUUUGGGAUGGCUUACCACAAUGCCUGUCUGCCCUGCCCAGGAGGGAAGUUCUGCCAAGGAGAGGGCUUGAUGAGUGUUUCUGGAUCGUGCUCUGCUGGCUAUUUUUGUGAUGGUGAAUCCACACGGCCGGACCAUAAGCAGUGUCCCCCUGGUUUUUACUGUCCCAAAGGCUCUGAAUCCCCUGUUCCUUGCAGCCCUGGUCACUUCAAUUCUGAGAGAGGAAAGUGGCAGCCAGCAGACUGUCAGCUCUGCCCAGCUGGAUAUUUCUGCAGUGGUUCUGGAGCACAUACUCCUGAGCUGUGCCCUGCUGGGUACUUCUGUCUGCCAGGUACCAACUUCAGUACAGAGCAUCCAUGUCCAGUGGGCACCUUUGGCCCCAGGGCUGGUGCCACCAGUGACUCUGACUGUGAUCCCUGCCCAGCAGGUAUGUAUUGCUCAGCACCAGGUCUUUCACAGCCCUCUGGAUUUUGCUAUUCAGGUUAUCAUUGUGCCAAGGGAGCCAUCAGCCCAACCCCUUUCAAACACAGGGUAGAAUUUGCUGGCCCUGUGUUGCCUGGUAAUGACAUCUGUCCUGCAGGACACUACUGCCCCAAUGGAACUGAGAAUCCCAUGCCCUGCCCUCCUGGCUCCUUCUCUGCUGUCAGGGGCCUGCAGGCAGAAGAGCAGUGCCAGCCCUGCCCCGCUGGCCGAUAUUGCAGCAGGGCAGGAUUGUUUGAUCUGGCUCAGACAUCGCUGUGUAAUGCAGGGUAUGUUUGUUUGGAAGGAAGCUCUGCUCCCUGCCCUUUUGAUGGGGUUUAUGGAUACAGAUGUCCUAGUGGCUUCUACUGUCCUGCUGGCACUGGGCUAGAACUGCCCUGUGAGCCUGGCACCUUCAGCCCUAUGCCUGGAGCGAGUACUUGCCUCCCUUGCCCAGCUGGUAUGGCCUGCAGCCAUGCAGCCACUGCAGAGCCACUCAGCUGUCCCAGAGGUUACUAUUGUCCAGCUAGGACUGCUGCUCCUCUGCCAUGCCCCGAGGGGACACUGAAUGUCAUGGAGGGGGCAUUGGCUCUCAGUGCUUGCAAGCUGUGUCCAGUGGGGAGGUACUGCAGAGGAGAUGCUAAUUGGGAACCUGAUGGUCUGUGUUCAGCUGGGUACUAUUGUGAAGGAGGAGCCACUGAUGCAGUUCCACAUGGGACACCAGCAUUCCCACUCAAUGGGCCCUGCCCACUUGGACAUUAUUGUCCAGAGGGCACUCCUUUCCCAGUUGCCUGCCCAGUUGGGACCCUGAACAACAACACAGGUGGUACCUCUCCAGAGAGCUGUGUGCCGUGCUAUCCUGGGUGUUUCUGUGCUAGCAUUGGUUUGAGUUCUCCAACAGGACCUUGUACUGAGGGAUUUUACUGCCCAGCAAACUUCAGCUCCUUCAGCCCCACAGCAUUUCUCUGCCCUAAGGGUCACUUCUGCCGGUCAGGAGCAGCCCACCCAACACCAUGCCCUGCUGGGGAAUACCAGCCAGCCAGGGGCUCUGCAUCCUGUAUUCCAUGCCAGAGGGGAUUCUACUGCCAGGAGAUGGUGGCUGGAGACCCCAAGAGCUGCCCACCACAUAUGUACUGUCCUACAGGUACUCUGAAACUGGCACACCAGCUAUGCCAAGGGCUCAAACCUUGCAUGCCUUAUUGUUGUGCUAGAGUCGUACAGACCCAAUAUCAGCCCUGUAGGCCAGGGAAUGAGGAACUGACAAACCUUGCAUUGUGCUGCCUUGCUUCUUGGGAGGUGAUUGUUACUCUGAUAUGGUUGUAG
ensembl:lncRNA